rnacentral:rRNA from 1 species
AAUGAACGUUGGCGGCAUGGAUUAGGCAUGCAAGUCGAGCGAGAAGUGUAGCAAUACACGGAAAGCGGCGGAAGGGAGAGUAAUACGUGGGAAUCUGCCCUUAGACCUGGGAUAGCAGCGGGAAACUGCUGGUAAUACCAGAUAAUGUCUAUGGACCAAAGGUGUGAUUCCGUCUAGGGAUGAGCCCACGUCCUAUUAGCUAGUUGGUAGGGUAAUGGCCUACCAAGGCGAUGAUGGGUAGCGGGUGUGAGAGCAUGACCCGCCUAACUGGGACUGAGACACUGCCUAGACACCUACGGGUGGCUGCAGUCGAGAAUCUUCGGCAAUGGGCGCAAGCCUGACCGAGCGAUGCCGCGUGCGGGAUGAAGGCCUUCGGGUUGUAAACCGCUGUCGAGGGGGAGCAACUUCCAUAGAGUUAUCUUUAUGGAUUGAGUGAUCCCUAGAGGAAGGACGGGCUAAGUUCGUGCCAGCAGCCGCGGUAAAAC